AUUCCAUGUGUAGCGGUAAAAUGUGUAAAUAUAUGGAGGAACACCAGAAGCGUAGGCGGCUUGCUGGGUCUUUACUGACGCUGAGGCACGAAAGCGUGGGUAGCAAACAGGAUUAGAUACCCUGGUAGUCCACGCCGUAAACGAUGAGUACUAAGUGUCGGGGUAAAACUCGGUACUGAAGUUAACACAUUAAGUACUCCGCCUGAGUAGUACGUACGCAAGUAUGAAACUUAAAGGAAUUGACGGGACUCCGCACAAGCGGUGGAUCAUGUUGUUUAAUUCGAAGAUACACGAAAAAUCUUACCAGGUCUUGACAUACUCUGCAAAGCUAUAGAAAUAUAGUGGAGGUUAUCAGGGAUACAGGUGGUGCAUGGUUGUCGUCAGUUCGUGUCGUGAGAUGUUAGGUUAAGUCCUAAAACGAGCGCAACCCUUGUCGUUAAUUGCCAGCACGUAAUGGUGGGGACUUUAGCGAGACUGCCAAUUAAACAUUGGAGGAAGGUGAGGAUUACGUCAAAUCAUCAUGCCCCUUAUGAUCUGGGCUACAAACGUGAUACAAUGGCUGUGACAAAGAGUAGCUGAGACGCGAGUUUUUAGCCAAUCUCAAAAAAGCAGUCUCAGUUCGGAUUGAAGUCUGUAACUCGACUUCAUGAAGUUGGAAUCGCUAGUAAUCGCGAAUCAGCAUGUCGCGGUGAAUACGUUCUCGGGGUUUGUACACGCCGCCCGUCAAACCACGAAAGUUAGCAUUACCCGAAAACAGUAGCUUAACUUCCUAAGAAGAGGGAACUGUCUAAGGUAGGGUUGAUGAUUGGGGUUAAUUCGUAACAAGGUAUCCCUA
rnacentral:rRNA from 1 species